AGUGAACGCUGGCGGUAGGCCUAACACAUGCAAGUCGAACGGCAGCACAGUAAGAGCUUGCUCUUACGGGUGGCGAGUGGCGGACGGGUGAGGAAUACAUCGGAAUCUACUUUUUCGUGGGGGAUAACGUAGGGAAACUUACGCUAAUACCGCAUACGACCUACGGGUGAAAGCAGGGGAUCUUCGGACCUUGCGCGAUUGAAUGAGCCGAUGUCGGAUUAGCUAGUUGGCGGGGUAAAGGCCCACCAAGGCGACGAUCCGUAGCUGGUCUGAGAGGAUGGUAGGCCACACUGGAACUGAGACACGGACCAGGCUCCUGCGGGAGGCAGCAGUGGGGAAUAUGAGGCAAUGGGCGCAAGCCUGAUCCAGCCAGACCGCGUGGGUGGAGAAGGCCUUCGGGUUGUAAAGCCCUUUUGUUGGGAAAGAAAAGCAGCAGGUUAAUACCCCGCUGUUCUGACGGUACCCAAAGAAUAAGCACCGGCUAACUUCGUG
rnacentral:rRNA from 1 species